rnacentral:misc_RNA from 1 species
CAAGCCAGGUAUUUUGGCUGCUGAUAGAAAGUGAACAGAUUCAAUUUGUCAUUUGUAUGUUGGCCAGUCAAAUAAGAUGCAUGUUUCUUACAAAUCAGAGCAAGAACAAGGUAAAAGAAAAAGAAGAGCUUUACAGAAUGCUUUAUCUGAUAAAGAAACAGUUGCUGCAGGGCUCCUCUUAGCUUCUAGCCUCCGCAGUUUACCAUAACCACCUCCCAGUAUCUUCAAAUGAAUAAGAUACCAAUUCAAACUUUAGAAUAUACUGUCCCACAAUCCUGGAAACAACAUUUACGGCCCACGGUACCUGCGGAAACAGAGACAGCCUUGAGGUUGAUCUACAGGGAGCAUACCUCCACCCUUGGAUGUGUCGAUUGCUGCUAACAUGGACACAACCUCCUCCAUCUCAGGCCGCUUGUCAGGAUUCGCAUCCCAGCAUCGCUUCAUUACGUUGGCAAGAGAACUUGGGCAACAC